rnacentral:tRNA from 1 species
UCCCAAAUGGCUUAAGUGGUAAAGAAUCUGCCUACAGUACAGCAAACACAGGUUCAAUCCCUGAAUUGGGAA